rnacentral:lncRNA from 1 species
CCCCCAAACCCUCCCAGGCACCCCACCCCUCCCCCGCCGCGCGCGGCGCUUCCCGCCUUCCCCCUCCCCCGCCUCCCAUUACGGGCCGCAGAGCCCGCCCGUAACCGCCCUUAACCAAUCAGCGCCGGGCUCGGAGCGCUGGGGCGGAACCAAAGGAGAGCGCGGGCGAUGGAGCGGGCCCUGCUCGGGCCCCGCCCCCGCGGGCCAGAGAGGGCGAAGCCUCCGCUUGGCUCAGCCCCCUGCAGCUCCACCCUCGAUGACCCCCUCGAACGAUGGCGCUUGAGGCGGUGCCGUGGGGAGGAGACAGCGCUGGACACGCCCCUGGUAGGCGGGGCCCUGCUGGGCGCUGCUGCUCCCCAGGGUGCCCUGCAGGGAGUGCCACAGGGCCGGUCACGUGACCCACCGGGGGGCCUGCAAGGGGCCGUGCCGUGGGAAUCAUGUGACCCCCCUGAGGCCCUUUGGCCAAUCAGGAGACACUUCCG